rnacentral:rRNA from 1 species
GAUGAACGCUGGCGGCGUGCCUAAUACAUGCAAGUCGAGUGAACAGAUAAGGAGCUUGCUCCUUUGACGUUAGCGGCGGACGGGUGAGUAACACGUGGGUAACCUAUCUAUAAGACUGGGAUAACUCCGGGAAACCGUAGCUAAUGCCGGAUAAUAUUUUGAACCGCAUGGUUCUACAGUGAAAGACGGCUUUGCUGUCACUUAUAGAUGGACCCGCGCUGUAUUAGCUAGUUGGUAAGGUAACGGCUUACCAAGGCAACGAUGCGUAGCCGACCUGAGAGGGUGAUCGGCCACACUGGAACUGAGACACGGUCCAGACUCCUACGGGAGGCAGCAGUAGGGAAUCUUCCGCAAUGGGCGAAAGCCUGACGGAGCAACGCCGCGUGAGUGAUGAAGGUCUUCGGAUCGUAAAACUCUGUUAUUAGGGAAGAACAAAUGCGUAAGUAACUGUGCGCGUCUUGACGGUACCUAAUCAGAAAGCCACGGCUAACUACGUG